GACGAACGCUGGCGGCGUGCCUAAUACAUGCAAGUAGAACGCUGAAGAGAGGAGCUUGCUCUUCUUGGAUGAGUUGUGAACGGGUGAGUAACGCGUAGGUAACCUGCCUUGUAGCGGGGGAUAACUAUUGGAAACGAUAGCUAAUACCACAUAACAAUGGAUGACACAUGUCAUUUAUUUGAAAGGGGCAAUUGCUCCACUACAAGAUGGACCUGCGUUGUAUUAGCUAGUAGGUGAGGUAAUGGCUCACCUAGGCGACGAUACAUAGCCGACCUGAGAGGGUGAUCGGCCACACUGGGACUGAGACACGGCCCAGACUCCUACGGGAGGCAGCAGUAGGGAAUCUUCGGCAAUGGGGGCAACCCUGACCGAGCAACGCCGCGUGAGUGAAGAAGGUUUUCGGAUCGUAAAGCUCUGUUGUAAGUCAAGAACGGGUGUGAGAGUGGAAAGUUCACACUGUGACGGUAGCUUACCAGAAAGGGACGGCUAACUACGUGCCAGCAGCCGCGGUAAUACGUAGGUCCCGAGCGUUGUCCGGAUUUAUUGGGCGUAAAGCGAGCGCAGGCGGUUUGAUAAGUCUGAAGUUAAAGGCUGUGGCUCAACCAUAGUUCGCUUUGGAAACUGUCAAACUUGAGUGCAGAAGGGGAGAGUGGAAUUCCAUGUGUAGCGGUGAAAUGCGUAGAUAUAUGGAGGAACACCGGUGGCGAAAGCGGCUCUCUGGUCUGUAACUGACGCUGAGGCUCGAAGCGUGGGGAGCGAACAGGAUUAGAUACCCUGGUAGUCCACGCCGUAAACGAUGAGUGCUAGGUGUUGGAUCCUUUCCGGGAUUCAGUGCCGCAGCUAACGCAUUAAGCACUCCGCCUGGGGAGUACGACCGCAAGGUUGAAACUCAAAGGAAUUGACGGGGGCCCGCACAAGCGGUGGAGCAUGUGGUUUAAUUCGAAGCAACGCGAAGAACCUUACCAGGUCUUGACAUCCCGAUGCUAUUUCUAGAGAUAGAAAGUUACUUCGGUACAUCGGUGACAGGUGGUGCAUGGUUGUCGUCAGCUCGUGUCGUGAGAUGUUGGGUUAAGUCCCGCAACGAGCGCAACCCCUAUUGUUAGUUGCCAUCAUUCAGUUGGGCACUCUAGCGAGACUGCCGGUAAUAAACCGGAGGAAGGUGGGGAUGACGUCAAAUCAUCAUGCCCCUUAUGACCUGGGCUACACACGUGCUACAAUGGUUGGUACAACGAGUUGCGAGUCGGUGACGGCGAGCUAAUCUCUUAAAGCCAAUCUCAGUUCGGAUUGUAGGCUGCAACUCGCCUACAUGAAGUCGGAAUCGCUAGUAAUCGCGGAUCAGCACGCCGCGGUGAAUACGUUCCCGGGCCU
rnacentral:rRNA from 1 species